GAAGGGGGUUAGGCGGCUAGGGUAUCAUGUUUCCAAGUAUCAAAAUGGGGGUGCUGGUGGAUCCAUAAUAGAAAAAUCUGAGGUCUCUCUCUCUGCACCUGCAUGCGUGCGCAUGCAUGACACACACAACAUGCACAUGCAUGCAUGCACGCAUGGUGCACAUAACAUGCGGGCACAACAGAUGUGACCCCACACACAUGCAUAUGCAGGCACGCAUGCCCACACUAAAUACUUGGGAGUUACUAAAUUGUUUGAAUUUGUCUUCGAAAAAGAAAAAAGAAAGUUGGAGAAUUUUAGUGUAAGGAGCUGUUUUCGGGUGGAGGAAGCGACUCCUCUAAAUGGAGGAGAAGUUUCAUAGAUGAAGAGCCAUCUCUCAGAUCCAAGAGUUGUACAUAGUAGACGCAAGUCCUCUCCAACUAGAUGGGAGUUGUCUUUCAGAAAUUAGAACUUAGCG
rnacentral:lncRNA from 1 species